rnacentral:lncRNA from 1 species
UGCAGCAAGAGAAAUUUGGCCAGGAGGGGGCCGUUGGUGCAGACCAAGCAUCCAGUGGGAACACACAGGGGUCAGCUACCUUGGAUUCCUCCUCCCCACUUGGGGGUUCAGCUUCCCUAUUUCCCCCAGGGACAAAGACCCAGCCAGGUCACUCUCAGGGAUUCAGGGAAAAUAAGCAUUGUGUCUGGGGCAUAAAGAAAGGCCAAGUUCUGGGCAUGUGGCUGCAGGCAUGUCUUACGGGACAGAGACAGCCCCCCCAGCCGAGGACUGGCCUCCCAAUAACUCUGUUCUGCCUGGAGUGUCCUUGUGCUGGACUUCCUCCAGCAACCUCACCC